UACAGAGGUCUCAAGCGUUGUUCGGAUUCAUUGGGCGUAAAGGGUGCGUAGGUGGUGGCGCAAGUCUGGUGUGAAAUCUCGGAGCUUAACUCCGAAAUGGCACCGGAUACUGCAUUACUCGAGGACUGUAGAGGAGAUCGGAAUUCACGGUGUAGCAGUGAAAUGCGUAGAUAUCGUGAGGAAGACCAGUUGCGAAGGCGGAUCUCUGGGCAGUUCCUGACACUGAGGCACGAAGGCCAGGGGAGCAAACGGG
rnacentral:rRNA from 1 species